rnacentral:rRNA from 1 species
UAGGGAAUCUUCGGCAAUGGACGGAAGUCUGACCGAGCAACGCCGCGUGAGUGAAGAAGGUCUUCGGAUCGUAAAGCUCUGUUGUUAGAGAAGAACGUUGGUAGGUGCUGAAAAUCUACCAAGUGACGGUAACUAACCAGAAAGGGACGGCUAACUACGUGCCAGCAGCCGCGGUAAUACGUAGGUCCCGAGCGUUGUCCGGAUUUAUUGGGCGUAAUGUGAGCGCAGGCGGUUCUUUAAGUCUGAAGUUAAAGGCUGUGGCUUAACCAUUGUACGCUGUGGAAACUGGAGGACUAGAGUGCAGUAGGGGUGAGUGGAAUUCCAUGUUGAGCGGUGAAAUGCGUAGAUAUAUGGAGGAACACCGGUGGCGAAAGCGGCUCUCUGGUCUGUAACUGACGCUGAGGCUCGAAAGCGUGGGGAGCGAACAGG